rnacentral:lncRNA from 1 species
AGAAUAUACAACACAAUUGUAAUAUACUAUUCAGACAUCCCAGUCCUCAGUAGCCUAAUCCAUGAAAAGUACUUAUUUUCACAAAUGUUGGGGAUGUGAGGGAGGGAGGAGAGAGAGAGAAAAAAAGGAAAAGGAAAAAAAAUCCCAAAGGAAAAUUAAAAAGGAUUGGUUCUAUUAGAGUGCAAUAUAUUUUCUAUUUCCCUUCCCAUUCAAUAGGUGGGGUUGUCUGUUGUUCGCUGGUAUCUCCACCCUCAGGAUGGUGAAAGUUAUUAGGGUGGGAGGGUUGGUUUUGGGGACGGAACUCCUGGAUGUGGGAUAUAGCACUUGCUGGUCCCCAUUGGGAAACCGCACCCCAAGAAUCUCCUUUGGAGCCCACUCGUGUGAUGUGGGCACCUGGUCUUAUCUCCUUAUAUCUCCUGUGUACCUCACAAUUCCUGGUCUCUACUUUAGCCUCUAAACUGUAUCUCACUCACCCCUUCCCUUUCUACUUCCUAACCAGGAACCUGAGGUCUUGUGGGCUGUGCUCUGGGGCCGGUACACCUGUCUCAGAGAGUGUUUUAUAUUGGGCAGCUCAGGACCAGUCUUUGUGAGCUACUCACUGGCUAUGUAGCUGCAAGCUGCUGGGUUAGUGGAUGCAGAGGAGGGGGAGUUGGGAGACUAUACGUACCUUGAUAUUACCUUUAGGCCCCAGCUGAUGUCCUAGGCUGGGAGUUGACCCAACUAAAGAUGAUGACAAAGGUGUACCAAGAUGGAGGCAACUGCUUUCAGAGAUCGGUUGUCAGGCUGCGCUGGGUGGGGCAUUGGGCGAAGUGUUCAGAGAUGCAGCCCCGUGGCUUGCAGUGUUGUGGCUGGCAGGUACCUCCGUCCCUGUCAAGUGUCCCCAGGUACAGGAAACUAUGGCAGUGGUUGCAGUGUCCCAAGGUGGAGGCCACCAGGGGAAGCCCCAUGCUGGUAGAUGGGGGUCCACAUGGGAAUGGUGGCUGGGGAUCAUGCAUGGGUGGUCAGUCGGGGGUCCUGCAUAGGUGCUAAGGCCUGGGGUCCUGUGCGGAAACAGCUGCCAGGAUUCAUGCAGGAGAGCAGCUGUCAGGGGUCCUCUAAUAACUAGCAGAGAAACAGUAUUCCAUUGCUUAAAUCCCAGGUUACGCAGCAACAAGGAUUCAGCCUCCCCCUAUCCCGGCAUCUUGGAUCCUCAACUGGGUGGUUUUUAUGUGUUUGAAUUUCAAGAGUUUUUUAUAUAUCAGGAUAUAAAUCGUCUGUUAGGUAUGUGAUUUGCAAAUAUUUUCUCCCAGUUCAUAGCUUGUAUUUUUAUUUUUUAC